UACGGAGGGUGCAAGCGUUAAUCGGAAUUACUGGGCGUAAAGGGUGCGUAGGUGGUUUGUUAAGUCUGCUGUGAUAUCCCCGGGCUCAACCUGGGAAUGGCAGUGGAUACUGGCAAGCUAGAGUGCGGUAGAGGGUAGUGGAAUUCCCGGUGUAGCAGUGAAAUGCGUAGAGAUCGGGAGGAACACCAGUGGCGAAGGCGAGUCCUUGGACAAUACCUGACACUGAGGCACGAAAGCCAGGGGAGCAAACGGG
rnacentral:rRNA from 1 species